rnacentral:rRNA from 1 species
CAAUAGCGUAUAUUAAAGUUGUUGCAGUUAGAACGCUCGUAGUCGGAUUUCGGGUCGGGCCGACCGGUCUGCCGAUGGGUACGCACUGGUCGGCGCGUCCUUCCUCUCGGAGACUGUUCCUACUCUUAACUGAGCGGGGGCAGGAUACGGGACUUUUACUUUGAAAAAAUCAGAGUGUUUCAAGCAGGCAGCUCGCUCUUGCAUGGAUUAGCAUGGGAUAAUGAAAUAGGACUUUGGUGCUAUUUUGUUGGUUUCGAACACCGAAGUAAUGAUGAGAAGGGACAGUCAGGGGCACUCGUAUUCCGCCGAGAGAGGUGAAAUUCUCAGACCAGCGGAAGACGAACCACUGCGAAAGCAUUUGCCAGGGAUGUUUUCACUGA